rnacentral:lncRNA from 1 species
GCAGGACAUUUCGUUACAAACCGUUCAAGAAUGUUUGUUCUAAACGACAUUAUCCAUCAACACCGUGAGACAGAGCUAAAAUACAGUCUGAAAACAUCUGACAAGCCUUAACAACGGCUAACAGCACCAAUUCCUGUUCUACUUCUCCAACAUGGUUGUUAACAGCCAGAUCCACCUGCCGCCAGCCCAAACAUCGUCUGACAGCCCCAUCACUGUUAGAGAAUCUGUUAGGCUAACAUUUCCUAACAGGCACGCCUGUUAGCCGCUGUUAGACCCCCUAUGAGUUGGUAGGGGCUAGCAGCAGCGCUGCUGCACUGUACAGUCACUGUACAGACUUGUCUUGGAGUGUUAACUGACGGUGAUGGAGGACUACUUCUAGGCAUGAAUACCAGAAAGUGUUAGGGUGGAUAGAGCGCUUCUGAGCUAUAAUGUAGCAUGUUUUGAGGCAAAUUGUUGACAGAUCGAUGAGCUGCAGCUGCAGCAGCCGCUGUUGUGGAAAUGUUUGGUGCUGUUUGGAAGCUGCAGAUUGUUUGGAAGCUGCUGCAGCUGCAGCUGCUUCAGCUGAAGCAGGCAUUGCAUAUGGCUUAAU